UGUGUUAAAGGCAAAACGACCCAAUUGGCCUGCAAAAUCAAAAACGGGACCGGACUCCUGGGUUACCGUGGAAGCUUGACGCAUGGUGAGAGUGAUGUAAUAGAUAAGGUGCUUGGGGAUCACUAAUCAAACCAUUCUGGUUAUUUAUCAGGCGAAAACAAAUGGAUUUUAGCUAUACAGCAAGAAGUAAACAGAGAGUAAAAAAUUGGAUAUUGAAAGAGAGAGAGAGAGAGAGCGAGAGAGGCUAGAAUACAAAUGAUGGUGAACUGUUUGAGAUUGUGGGUUUUAGAGAGAGAAAAUGGAGUGGGGCUUUAG
rnacentral:misc_RNA from 1 species